ACGCUGGCGGCAGGCCUAACACAUGCAAGUCGAGCGGUAGAGAGAAGCUUGCUUCUCUUGAGAGCGGCGGACGGGUGAGUAAUGCCUAGGAAUCUGCCUGGUAGUGGGGGAUAACGUUCGGAAACGGACGCUAAUACCGCAUACGUCCUACGGGAGAAAGCAGGGGACCUUCGGGCCUUGCGCUAUCAGAUGAGCCUAGGUCGGAUUAGCUAGUUGGUGAGGUAAUGGCUCACCAAGGCGACGAUCCGUAACUGGUCUGAGAGGAUGAUCAGUCACACUGGAACUGAGACACGGUCCGGACUCCUACGGGAGGCAGCAGUGGGGAAUAUUGGACAAUGGGCGAAAGCCUGAUCCAGCCAUGCCGCGUGUGUGAAGAAGGUCUUCGGAUUGUAAAGCACUUUAAGUUGGGAGGAAGGGCAUUAACCUAAUACGUUAGUGUUUUGACGUUACCGACAGAAUAAGCACCGGCUAACUCUGUGCCAGCAGCCGCGGUAAUACAGAGGGUGCAAGCGUUAAUCGGAAUUACUGGGCGUAAAGCGCGCGUAGGUGGUUUGUUAAGUUGGAUGU
rnacentral:rRNA from 1 species